AAAUGGGUGCCGAUACCACUCCAACUCCGCACUUCCCCAAAUUCAGAUAGAUUUCUGGGUUUUCGGGGGCCCGGGGUAAAACCCCCCCCGGCCCUGAAAGGCGGCCCGCCGAAGCAACUAAGGUACCGUAAACCCGGGUGGAGGUUGGGCCCGCUAGGAACCCUACACUCGGUAAUGAUCUUCCGUAGGGGUGAACCUGCGGAAGGAUCAUUACCGAGUGUAGGGUUCCUAGCGAGCCCAACCUCCCACCCGUGUUUACUGUACCUUAGUUGCUUCGGCGGGCCCGCCAUUCAUGGCCGCCGGGGGCUCUCAGCCCCGGGCCCGCGCCCGCCGGAGACACCACGAACUCUGUCUGAUCUAGUGAAGUCUGAGUUGAUUGUAUCGCAAUCAGUUAAAACUUUCAACAAUGGAUCUCUUGGUUCCGGCAUCGAUGAAGAACGCAGCGAAAUGCGAUAACUAGUGUGAAUUGCAGAAUUCCGUGAAUCAUCGAGUCUUUGAACGCACAUUGCGCCCCCUGGUAUUCCGGGGGGCAUGCCUGUCCGAGCGUCAUUGCUGCCCAUCAAGCACGGCUUGUGUGUUGGGUCGUCGUCCCCUCUCCGGGGGGGACGGGCCCCAAAGGCAGCGGCGGCACCGCGUCCGAUCCUCGAGCGUAUGGGGCUUUGUCACCCGCUCUGUAGGCCCGGCCGGCGCUUGCCGAACGCAAAUCAAUCUUUUUCCAGGUUGACCUCGGAUCAGGUAGGCCC
rnacentral:rRNA from 1 species